AGUGGGGGUCCCCAUUCCAUUAUGGGGGGUCUCGGUGUCACCCUGACCCCAAAGUGGGGGUCCCAGUCCCAUGGUGUCCCCAGGGUGGGGGUCCCAACAUCACCACGACCCCAUGGUGGGGGUCCCAGGUCCACAAUGGGGGUCUUGGGGUCACCUUGUCCCCAAGGGGGGGGGGGUCCCAACCCCAAGAUUGGGGUCCCAACGUCACCAUGUCCCCAUAAUGGGGGUCCCAACCCCAAGAUGGGGGUCCCAACAUCACCAUAUCCCCAUGAUGGGGGUCUCAGGUCCAGGAUGGGGUCCCACCUUCAGAAUGGGGGGUCUCAGGUCCAGGAUGGGGGUCUUGGUGUCACCUUAUCCCCAAGGGGGGGGGGUCCCAACCCCAAGAUUGGGGUCCCAAUGUUACCAUGUCCCCAGAAUGGGGGUCCCAAUGUCGCCAUAAUGGGGGUCCCACCUCCAGGAUGGGGGUCCCAAAGUCACCAUGUCCCCAAGAUGGGGGUCCCAGGUCCAGGAUGGGGGCCCCAAAGUCACCAUGUCCCCAUGAUGGGGGUCCCAAUGUCCCCAUAAUGGGGGUCCCAGCUCCUUGAUAGGGGUCUUGGUGUCACCUUAUCCCCAAGGGGGGGGGGGUCCCAACCCCAAGAUGGGGGUCCCACCUUCAGUAUGGGGUCCCAUGGGGGUCCCAACCCCAAGACGGGGGUCCAUACCUUCAGAAUGGGGUCCCAUGGGGGUCCCCAACCCCAGCAAUGGGGUCCCACCUUCAGAAUAGGGGUCCCAUAGGGGGUCCAACCCCAAGAUGGGUCCAACUUCGAAGUCGGGGGUCCCAUGGGGGUCCCCAACCCCAAGAUGGGGGUCCCACCUUCAGAAUGGGGGUCCCAUGGGGGUCCCAACCCCAAGAUGGGGGUCCCACCUUCAGAAUGGGGGUCCCAUGGGGGUCCCAACCCCAAGAUGGGGUUCGCGCCACCUUGCAGAAAUGGGGGUCCCAUGGGGGUCCCAACCCCAAGACGGGGGUCCCAACCUUUCAAGAAGGGGGUCCAUGGGGGUCCCAACACCCAAAUGGGUCCCACCUUCAGAAUGGGGGUCCCAUGGGGGUCCAACCCCAAGAUGGGGGUCCCACUCAGAA
rnacentral:lncRNA from 1 species